rnacentral:lncRNA from 12 species
AACUGGAAUCUCAGAGACAAGACUAUGGGACCUCAAGAGUAAGGCAGAGCAUGUGCUAGAACUAGGCCACAAGGCAUAGCCUAACCAAAGAUUUGAAUCUCAAAGAAAAGACAGAAUGUAUGACAAAUAAUUGAUACUGCUUCAGUCCUGAGUCUGGACUUCUGUGGAUACCUAGAUUACCAACAGUGUUCUGAUUCCAGUCCUUAUGGAGUAAUGCCCUUGGCUUGAAACUCAACCUAAGCUAGGAAAUAUAAGCAAAUAA